AGAUUCCAGAGGCUUCUUUUCUGUGGGCGUGGCCAAGGCAGCGGGGGUUUAUGACAAAGUUGAGCGACCUCAUGUCACUCAAACCAGCUGUAUUAAGGAAGGUGCAAGCUUUUGGGAUUUCUGUUUGGAUUUAGUUUAGGUUCAAAAGAGCACGCACAGAUCCUGAGUGUUGUCAAGCACCCGUGACUGGGAAACGGAGGCGUCCGAUCCGUAUUGGAGUCAAUUCGCCACUUAAUUGAACACAGCCUCGAAGGGAAGGGCCAUAUUUGUGGGCCUGUCUAACAAUUAAGAGUGACCACAUGGAAUGGGGGAUGAAAGGGUUAAAGAAGAACAAAUAUUGAACACAGCUUUUCUAUGAACAAACUGCAGGCAGCUGCUGCUUUGCAAGGGAAGCAGUUGAUUGAGAAUAAUGGUUCUGUUUUGGAGGUUGAUGGAAGAUGCCCUUUGGCCAGGAAAACAGCUCAUGCUUUUAGAGGAGGAUAAUUGCCAGAAGGCCUCUCUGAAUAAAAAAAAAUCCUGACCUCACAGCCUUUGCGCUUACUUGGGUUAGAAUGCCACAGUGAACAUUGCCCCUUGUCAUCACGUAGAGGUGCUCACAGGUAAAGCAACACAAGGAGCAUAUAGGAUCACCUGCUGGAUCUUGUUUUUAACACCAGGGAGGAAAAUGGUGUCUUGGGUAAUGAACAUGCCUCAAGACUGAGCUGGCCAUCUUCAGUGUCAUCCAAACCCUCAGUGGCCCCUGAAAAACCCUUUGAAAAGAUUCAGCACGUUGCCAUGGAGAACAUCCCACUGAAGGAAUGUAUAGAAGUAGCAGGGUUAACUGAGUGCCUUCCAUCUUCCCUCCAAGGGAUCUGCAAUGAGAUGGGAGAAGGCAACAGGCUGUGUGGGAACCACUGAAGCUGGGAUGGCAGGGAAAGAACAUCUUAGGCUAACUCUUCAAGCCUUGCUGUCACAUUUGCUUUUGAGUCUAUGGUUCCUUAUUAUUUUGGAAGGGUCUGAGAACCCACAGGGCACCCUGGGUCAUGACUCAUGUGACUGAGGAAGCACACAGAUCUGUGGAUCUCCAAGUCUAGAUGACAGCAAGCUAACAGGACACUGUUUAUGACAUAUAUAGCCCCCCCCCAACCCCUGCAGAUUUCAAAUAGGUUCUGACAAAGCUUUGUGGUAUCUGAAGGGUAGAUAGAGAAAAUAAGUGUAUCAUUUUGGUUUCUGUUUCUGCAUUACAGGUGUCAGCUGCCUACCAGUUGCUUUCAUCUCUAGAAAUCUGUGACUUGCAGUAUGACAAGAACAAAAGGUGACAAUACAAAGGACAAAGGGCAAGGAAUACAGACGGAGAAGCCGCUUAGAGUCUAGGAUGGCAGAGGUUCUCUUGAUCAUUUCAUUUUUGAGCGCUUGUAGAGCUUUGGUGUACCAGAGGUGCUUGAACAGCUUACCACACCACAGAUGAAUGGCCUUUGGAUUUCUCCUAAGAAAAUGUGGCUACCUGAAAUUCAACUCCAUUUUCUGGUCUUCAAUAUUUCUUUUGUGUUCAGUUUGCCAGCUGAGGAGAAGUGGCUAAGCAUAGCCUGUUACUGAUGCUAAAGCCCAAGUUCUGAACCUAACAACUCCAGCAACAUGAUCCUGUUUCAA
rnacentral:lncRNA from 1 species